rnacentral:rRNA from 1 species
UACGGAGGGAGCUAGCGUUGUUCGGAAUUACUGGGCGUAAAGCGCGCGUAGGCGGUUUGAUAAGUCGGGUGUGAAAGCCCCGGGCUUAACCUGGGAAUUGCAUUCGAUACUGUCUGACUCGAGUCUGGGAGAGGGAAGCGGAAUUCCGGGUGUAGCGGUGAAAUGCGUAGAUAUCCGGAGGAACAUCAGUGGCGAAGGCGGCUUCCUGGCCUAAGACUGACGCUGAGGUGCGAAAGCGUGGGGAGCAAACAGG